rnacentral:rRNA from 1 species
UACGUAGGUGGCAAGCGUUUGUCCGGAUUUAUUGGGUUUAAAGGGUGCGUAGGCGGCUUUGUAAGUCAGUGGUGAAAUAUGGCAGCUCAACUGUCAAGGUGCCAUUGAUACUGCAGAGCUUGAGUACAGAUGAGGUAGGCGGAAUUGACGGUGUAGCGGUGAAAUGCUUAGAUAUCGUCAAGAACACCUAUAGCGAAGGCAGCUUACUAGGCUGUAACUGACGCUGAGGCACGAAAAGUGUGGGGAUCAAACAGGG